rnacentral:rRNA from 1 species
GACGAACGCUGGCGGCGUGCCUAAUACAUGCAAGUUGAGCGCUGAAGGUUGGUACUUGUACCAACUGGAUGAGCAGCGAACGGGUGAGUAACGCGUGGGGAAUCUGCCUUUGAGCGGGGGACAACAUUUGGAAACGAAUGCUAAUACCGCAUAAAAACUUUAAACACAAGUUUUAAGUUUGAAGGAUGCAAUUGCAUCACUCAAAGAUGAUCCCGCGUUGUAUUAGCUAGUUGGUGAGGUAAAGGCUCACCAAGGCGAUGAUACAUAGCCGACCUGAGAGGGUGAUCGGCCACAUUGGGACUGAGACACGGCCCAAACUCCUACGGGAGGCAGCAGUAGGGAAUCUUCGGCAAUGGACGAAAGUCUGACCGAGCAACGCCGCGUGAGUGAAGAAGGUUUUCGGAUCGUAAAACUCUGUUGGUAGAGAAGAACGUUGGUGAGAGUGGAAAGCUCAUCAAGUGACGGUAACUACCCAGAAAGGGACGGCUAACUACGUG